rnacentral:rRNA from 1 species
GAUGAACGCUGGCGGCGUGCCUAACACAUGCAAGUCGAGCGAUUUACUUCGGUAAAGAGCGGCGGACGGGUGAGUAACGCGUGGGUAACCUGCCUCAUACACAUGGAUAACAUACCGAAAGGUAUGCUAAUACAAGAUGAUAUAAGAGAUUCGCAUGGAUUUCUUAUCAAAGCUCCGGCGGUAUGAGAUGGACCCGCGUCUGAUUAGCUAGUUGGUAAGGUAACGGCUUACCAAGGCGACGAUCAGUAGCCGACCUGAGAGGGUGAUCGGCCACAUUGGAACUGAGACACGGUCCAAACUCCUACAGGAGGCAGCAGUGGGGAAUAUUGCACAAUGGGCGAAAGCCUGAUGCAGCAACGCCGCGUGAGCGAUGAAGGCCUUCGGGUCGUAAAGCUCUGUCCUCAAGGAAGAUAAUGACGGUACUUGAGGAGGAAGCCCCGGCUAACUACGUGCCAGCAGCCGCCGUAA